rnacentral:rRNA from 1 species
UACAGAGGUCCCAAGCGUUGUUCGGAUUCACUGGGCGUAAAGGGUGCGUAGGUGGCAGGGUAAGUUUGAUGUGAAAUCUCCGAGCUCAACUCGGAAAUGGCAUUGAAUACUAUCCUGCUUGAGGGUCGGAGGGGAGACUGGAAUCCUCGGUGUAGCAGUGAAAUGCGUAGAUAUCUGGAGGAACACCGGUGGCGAAGGCGGCAUCCUGGACCGACACUGACACUGAGGAGCGAAAGCCAGGGGAGCAAACGGG